GCACAUAUGCUGGAAUGCUUUAUGCGUAAAAUGGAUUCGUCUGCCCAAGGAUGGGUCUGCGGCCUAUCAGGUAGUAGUGGGUGUAAUGUACCUACUAGCCUACAACGGGUACGGGUUGUGAGAGCAAGAGCCCGGAGAUGGAUUCUGAGACAUGAAUCCAGGCCCUACGGGGCGCAGCAGGCGCGAAAACUUUACAAUGCGGGAAACCGUGAUAAGGGGACACCGAGUGCCAGCAUCAUAUGCUGGCUGUCCAGAUGUGUAAAAUACAUCUGUUAGCAAGGGCCGGGCAAGACCGGUGCCAGCCGCCGCGGUAACACCGGCGGCCCGAGUGGUGAUCGUGAUUAUUGGGUCUAAAGGGUCCGUAGCCGGUUUGGUCAGUCCUCCGGGAAAUCUGAUGGCUCAACCAUUAGGCUUUCGGGGGAUACUGCCAGGCUUGGAACCGGGAGAGGUAAGAGGUACUACAGGGGUAGGAGUGAAAUCUUGUAAUCCCUGUGGGACCACCUGUGGCGAAGGCGUCUUACCAGAACGGGUUCGACGGUGAGGGACGAAAGCUGGGGGCACGAACCGGAUUAGAUACCCGGGUAGUCCCAGCCGUAAACGAUGCUCGCUAGGUGUCAGGCAUGGCGCGACCGUGUCUGGUGCCGCAGGGAAGCCGUGAAGCGAGCCACCUGGGAAGUACGGCCGCAAGGCUGAAACUUAAAGGAAUUGGCGGGGGAGCACAACAACGGGUGGAGCCUGCGGUUUAAUUGGACUCAACGCCGGACAACUCACCGGGGACGACAGCAAUAUGUAGGCCAGGCUGAAGACCUUGCCUGAAUC
rnacentral:rRNA from 1 species